GACGAACGCUGGCGGCGUGCUUUACACAUGCAAGUCGAACGGUGAAGGUGGAGCUUGCUCCGCCGGAUCAGUGGCGAACGGGUGAGUAACACGUGGGCAACCUGCCCCUAACUUUGGGAUAACUACUCGAAAGAGUAGCUAAUACCGGAUAUGAAGUCUGUAGGCAUCUACGGACUUGGAGAGUUUUUCGGUUAGGGAUGGGCCCGCGGCCUAUCCGCUUGUUGGUGAGGUAGUGGCUCACCAAGGCGACGACGGGUAGCCGGCCUGAGAGGGCGACCGGCCACACUGGGACUGCGACACGGCCCAGACUCCUACGGGAGGCAGCAGUGGGGAAUAUUGCGCAAUGGGCGAAAGCCUGACGCAGCAACGCCGCGCGCGGGAUGAAGGCCUUCGGGUUGUAGACCGCUUUCAGCAGGGAAGAAGCGAAAGUGACGGUACCUGCAGAAGAAGCACCGGCUAACUACGUGCCAGCCGCCGCCGUAA
rnacentral:rRNA from 1 species